CGCAUCUGUGCAUGCAGCAUAUCAAUAAGCGGAGGAAAAGAAACUAACAAGGAUUCCCCUAGUAACGGCGAGUGAAGCGGGAAGAGCUCAAAUUUGAAAUCUUAAAGGGUUUCCCUUUACGAAUUGUAGUUUAAAGAAGUGUUUUCUGUUGAGGUUUUGGUAAAAGUUCUUUGGAAUAGGACAUCAUAGAGGGUGAGAAUCCCGUAUUUGACCUUUACUUUCAACUUUGUGAUACACUUUCAAAGAGUCGGAUUGUUUGGGAAUGCAGUCCAAAAUGGGUGGUAAAUUUCAUCUAAAGCUAAAUAUUGGCGAGAGACCGAUAGCGAACAAGUACCGUGAGGGAAGGAUGAAAAGAACUUUGAAAAGAGAGUUAAACAGUACGUGAAAUUGUCAAAAGGGAAGCGUUUGACACCAGUGUUGUUUUUCUGAAAAUCAAUUAAAGAACUGUUUAUGCUAAGUUGUUUAGACUUUAUCAGCUAACUGUUUAGUUUUGAGCUUUUCUUUAAUGCACUUUUCAGUUAACAAGUCAACAUCAAUUUCUUUUGCUGUAAAAAAGCUUGAGGAAGGUGGCUUGAGAUUCGUCUUAAGUGUUUAUAGCCUCUUGCCUAUGCAGUCGGAGAGAUUGAGGUCUGCAGCGUAGAUCCUUCGGGGCUAAAUGCAUUUGUGCUAAGUUAUAGCAUUUUAUAGACAACUUGUUGACUAUGAUUUGUCUUGUAGCUUACUCGCUUAUGUUAUUUUACCUACGCUUAGGAUGUUGAGUCAUCACACAUCUCU
rnacentral:rRNA from 1 species